rnacentral:snRNA from 1 species
GUGCUCACUUUGGCAGCACAGAUACUAAAAUUGGAACGAUACAGAGAAAAUUAGCAUGGCCCCUGCGCAAGGAUGACACGCAAAUUUGUGAAGUAUUCCAUAUUUUU